rnacentral:rRNA from 1 species
UACAGAGGUGGCAAGCGUUGCUCGGAAUCACUGGGCGUAAAGAGCUCGUAGGCGGCUUGUCACGUCGGGUGUGAAAGCCCCGGGGCUUAACCCCGGGUCUGCAUUCGAUACGGGCUAGCUAGAGUGUGGUAGGGGAGAUCGGAAUUCCUGGUGUAGCGGUGAAAUGCGCAGAUAUCAGGAGGAACACCGGUGGCGAAGGCGGAUCUCUGGGCCAUUACUGACGCUGAGGAGCGAAAGCGUGGGGAGCGAACAGG